rnacentral:rRNA from 1 species
AGGGUUCGAUUCUGGCUCAGGAUGAACGCUAGCUACAGGCUUAACACAUGCAAGUCGAGGGGCAGCAUGUUGGUUGCUUGCAACCAACGAUGGCGACCGGCGCACGGGUGAGUAACGCGUAUCCAACCUACCCUUGUCCAUCGGAUAACCCGUCGAAAGGCGGCCUAACACGAUAUGCGGUUCACAGCGGGCAUCUAACGUGAACGAAAUGUGAAGGAGAAGGAUGGGGAUGCGUCUGAUUAGCUUGUUGGCGGGGUAACGGCCCACCAAGGCAACGAUCAGUAGGGGUUCUGAGAGGAAGGUCCCCCACAUUGGAACUGAGACACGGUCCAA